rfam:Felis catus isolate Cinnamon breed Abyssinian chromosome B2, whole genome shotgun sequence.
ACCUGAGUGGCUCAGUUGGUUGAGCAUCUGACUUUGGCUCAGGUCAUGAUCUUGCAGUCCACGGGUUCAAGCCCCAUGUCAGGCU